rnacentral:rRNA from 1 species
UAGGGAAUCUUCGGCAAUGGGGGCAACCCUGACCGAGCAACGCCGCGUGAGUGAAGAAGGUUUUCGGAUCGUAAAGCUCUGUUGUAAGUCAAGAACGGGUGUGAGAGUGGAAAGUUCACACUGUGACGGUAGCUUACCAGAAAGGGACGGCUAACUACGUGCCAGCAGCCGCGGUAAUACGUAGGUCCCGAGCGUUGUCCGGAUUUAUUGGGCGUAAAGCGAGCGCAGGCGGUUUGAUAAGUCUGAAGUUAAAGGCUGUGGCUCAACCAUAGUUCGCUUUGGAAACUGUCAAACUUGAGUGCAGAAGGGGAGAGUGGAAUUCCAUGUGUAGCGGUGAAAUGCGUAGAUAUAUGGAGGAACACCGGUGGCGAAAGCGGCUCUCUGGUCUGUAACUGACGCUGAGGCUCGAAAGCGUGGGGAGCGAACAGGAUUAGGAUACCCUGGUAGUCCACGCCGUAAACGAUGAGCGCUAGGUGUUGGAUCCUUUCCGGGAUUCAGUGCCGCAGCUAACGCAUUAAGCACUCCGCCUGGGGAGUACGACCGCAAGGUUGAAACGUCUAAAGUGAAUU